GGCACAAGCGGUGGAGUAUGUGGUUUAAUUCGAUGCAACGCGAAGAACCUUACCUGGUCUUGACAUCCCGGAGACCCUUAGGAAACUAGGGGUGCUUCCAUCUGGAAGAAUCUGGAGACAGGUGCUGCAUGGCUGUCGUCAGCUUGUGUCGUGAGAUGUUGGGUUAAGUCCCGCAACGAGCGCAACCCUUGCCUUUAGUUGCCAGCAGUUCGGCUGGGCACUCUAAAGGGACUGCCGGUGUUAAACCGGAGGAAGGUGGGGAUGACGUCAAGUCCUCAUGGCCUUUAUGACCAGGGCUACACACGUACUACAAUGGCCGAUACAAAGGGCAGCGACACUGCGAGGUGAAGCCAAUCCCGUAAAAUCGGUCUCAGUCCGGAUUGGAGUCUGCAACUCGACUGCGUGAAGUCGGAAUCGCUAGUAAUCGUGAAUCAGAAUGUCACGGUGAAUACGUUCCCGGGCCUU
rnacentral:rRNA from 1 species